GACGAACGCUGGCGGCGUGCCUAAUACAUGCAAGUCGAACGCAGUGGGGACUGGUGAGUAACACGUGGGUAACCUCCCAUCAGAGGUGAUAACACUUGGAAACAGGUGCUAAACCGAUACUGAUGGAUGGACCCUCGGUGCAUUAGCUAGUUGGUCAGGUAACGGCUAACCAAGGCCACGAUGCAUAGCCGACCUGAGAGGGGGAUCGGCCACACUGGGACUGAGACACGGCCCAGAUUCCUACGUGAGGCAGCAGUAGGGAAUCGUGGGCAAUGGGCGAAAGUCUGACCGAGCAACGCCGCGUGAAUGAAGAAGGUUUUCGGAUCAGAAAGCUCUGUUAGUAGAGAAGCGGUAUCUAACCAGAAAGCCACGGCUAACUACGUGCCAGCAGCCGCGGUAAUUC
rnacentral:rRNA from 1 species